rnacentral:rRNA from 1 species
AUUGAACGCUGGCGGCAGGCCUAACACAUGCAAGUCGAGCGAGCGGCGGACGUGUGUGUAAUGUAGGGGAACUGCCCGAUAGAGGGGUAUAACUACUGGAAACGGUGGAUAAUAGCGCAUACUAUCGGAUACCACAUAUGGGAUUCACUAGUAGGUGGGGUAAAGGCUCACCUAGGCCACGCUCUCUAGCUGGUCUGAGAGGAUGAUCAGCCACCCUGGAACUGAGACACGGCCCAGACUCCUACGGAGGCAGCAGUGGGGAAUAGUGCACAAUGGGCGCAAGCCUGAUGCAGCCAUGCCGCGUGUAUGAAGAAGGCCCUCGGGUUGUAAAGUACUUUCAGUCGGGAGGCGUUACCGGCAGAAGAAGCACCGGCUAACUCCGUGCCAGCCGCCGCGGUAAUAC